GCAAGACCGGUGCCAGCCGCCGCGGUAACACCGGCGGCUCGAGUGGUAACCGUUAUUAUUGGGUCUAAAGGGUCUGUAGCCGGCCGGAUAAGUCUCUUGAGAAAUCUGGCAGCUUAACUGUCAGGCUUUCAGGAGAUACUGUCUGGCUCGAGGCCGGGAGAGGUGAGAGGUACUUCAGGGGUAGGGGUGAAAUCUUGUAAUCCUUGAAGGACCACCAGUGGCGAAGGCGUCUCACCAGAACGGACCUGACGGCAAGGGACGAAAGCUAGGGGCACGAACCGGAUUAGAUACCCGGGUAGUCCUAGCCGUAAACGAUACUCGCUAGGUGUCGGCCACGGUGCGACCGUUGUCGGUGCCGUAGGGAAGCCGUGAAGCGAG
rnacentral:rRNA from 1 species